rnacentral:rRNA from 1 species
UACGUAGGGGGCUAGCGUUGUCCGGAAUCAUUGGGCGUAAAGAGCGUGUAGGCGGUCCGGUAAGUCCGCUGUGAAAGUCGGGGGCUCAACCCUCGAAUGCCGGUGGAUACUGUCGGGCUAGAGUGCGGAAGAGGCGAGUGGAAUUCCUGGUGUAGCGGCGAAAUGCGCAGAUAUCAGGAGGAACACCAAUUGCGAAGGCAGCUCGCUGGGACGUAACUGACGCUGAGACGCGAAAGCGUGGGGAGCAAACAGG